GUGAUUGUAGCUCAUGGAGAGCAUCGGGAUAAAACCCGAAGGCAUCGGUUCGAUUCCGAUCUGUCGCACAA
rnacentral:tRNA from 1 species